GAUGAACGCUGGCGGCGUGCCUAAUACAUGCAAGUCGAGCGAACAGAUAAGGAGCUUGCUCCUUUGACGUUAGCGGCGGACGGGUGUGUAACACGUGGGUAACCUACCUAUAAGACUGGGAUAACUUCGGGAAACCGGAGCUAAUACCGGAUAACAUUUGGAACCGCAUGGUUCUAAAGUGAAAGAUGGUUUUGCUAUCACUUAUAGAUGGACCCGCGCCGUAUUAGCUAGUUGGUAAGGUAACGGCUUACCAAGGCGACGAUACGUAGCCGACCUGAGAGGGUGAUCGGCCACACUGGAACUGAGACACGGUCCAGACUCCUACGGGAGGCAGCAGUAGGGAAUCUUCCGCAAUGGGCGAAAGCCUGACGGAGCAACGCCGCGUGAGUGAUGAAGGGUUUCGGCGCGUAAAACUCUGUUAUUAGGGAAGAACAAACGUGUAAGUAACUGAGCACGGCUUGACGGUGCCUAAUCAGAAAGCCACGGCUAACUACGUG
rnacentral:rRNA from 1 species